rnacentral:rRNA from 1 species
ACCUUCGGGCCUCGUGCUAUUGGAUGAGCCUAUGUCUGAUUAGCUUGUUGGUGAGGUAAAGGCUCACCAAGGCGACGAUCAGUAGCUGGUCUGAGAGGAUGAUCAGCCACACCGGGACUGAGACACGGCCCGGACUCCUACGGGAGGCAGCAGUGGGGAAUCUUGGACAAUGGGGGCAACCCUGAUCCAGCCAUGCCGCGUGUGUGAAGAAGGCCUUCGGGUUGUAAAGCACUUUCAGCAGGGAGGAAGGCUUACCCCUAAUACGGGUGAGUACUUGACGUUACCUGCAGAAGAAGCACCGGCUAAUUUCGUGCCAGCAGCCGCGGUAAUACGAAAGGUGCAAGCGUUAAUCGGAAUUACUGGGCGUAAAGCGCGCGUAGGCGGUGUGUUAAGUCGGAUGUGAAAGCCCAGGGCUCAACCUUGGAAUUGCAUCCGAUACUGGCACGCUAGAGUGCAGUAGAGGGAGGUGGAAUUUCCGGUGUAGCGGUGAAAUGCGUAGAGAUGGGAANGNNGGAAACCAGUGGCGAAGGCGGCCUCCUGGACUGACACUGACGCUGAGGUGCGAAAGCGUGGGGAGCAAANAGGANCAGAUACCCUGGUAGUCCACGCUGUAAACGAUGUCUAUUAGGCGUCGGGGUCCUUAGUGACUUUGGUGGCGCAGCUAACGCGAUAAGUAGACCGCCUGGGGAGUACGGCCGCAANCCNCUAAAACUCAAAUGAAUUGACGGGGGCCCGCACAAGCGGUGGAGCAUGUGGUUUAAUUCGAUGCAACGCGAAGAACCUUACCAGGUCUUGACAUCCUCGGAACUUGGCAGAGAUGCCUUGGUGCCUUCGGGAGCCGAGUGACAGGUGCUGCAUGGCCGUCGUCAGCUCGUGUCGUGAGAUGUUGGGUUAAGUCCCGUAACGAGCGCAACCCUUGUCCUUAGUUGCCAGCACGUCAUGGUGGGAACUCUAGGGAGACUGCCGGUGACAAACCGGAGGAAGGUGGGGACGACGUCAGGUCAUCAUGGCCCUUACGACCUGGGCUACACACGUGCUACAAUGGCUGGUACAGAGGGUUGCGAAGUCGCGAGGCGAAGCUAAUCCCUUAAAGCCAGUCGUAGUCCGGAUCGGAGUCUGCAACUCGACUCCGUGAAGUCGGAAUCGCUAGUAAUCGCGGAUCAGAAUGCCGCGGUGAAUACGUUCCCG